rnacentral:rRNA from 1 species
AUACCUACGGGAGGCAGCAGUGGGGGAUAUUGCACAAUGGGGGGAACCCUGAUGCAGCGACGCCGCGUGGGUGAAGGAGCGUUUCGGCGCGUAAAGCCCUAUCGGCAGGGGAGAAGAUGACGGGACCUGACCAAGAAGCCCCGGCUAACUACGUGCCAGCAGCCGCGGUAAUACGGAGGGGGGAAGCGGUAUCCGGAUUUACUGGGUGUAAAGGGGGCGCAGACGGGAAUGCAAGCCAGGAGUGAAAGCCCGG